UGUGCUUUUCCUACUAGUCAAAAUGUCUGCUGUGAAAAAGGUUCAUUACAAUAAACAGGUCAAAGUUUACACUCAUCCUGUGAAAUCUCAACAUCUAACUGACUGGAUUGGCACAAAGUCUGUUCUCCCGCCGUAAGAAGUAGGACUCAGCGUGGUUUGUUGAUGUGUCGUUUGAGACAUCAGACGAGCUCAAUCUGAAAACACAGCCUUUCUAGAUCCUGUGAGGAACUUCUUGCCUGCUGACCAGCUAUUCCCAAGUGGAAAAUGUGAGCUUCCCGUAGGACUAGCAGAGAGAUAAACAUCCAGAAAUACUGCCUCUGAGUUCCCACAAGCCAGUCCUAAGCACUCUACCCCUCCUCCUCUCUGUUCCCUGUCAUCCUUUCUGUCUUUCACCCACUGCUUUCUUUCUUUCUCUCUCUCUCUCUUCCUGUGUGUCUCUCUCUGUCUCUCCAUCAAUCUUUCCCAAGUGGAUUCUUAGUUAACACAAACAAAUAAGACUAACUGAUCGUUACAACUUUUCCCUGGUUUCAACUUGCAAGUUUUGUUCCUCCAUGCUCAUUCACAUCAACGUGGAAUUUUGUUUCCCACUUAAUGUGAAUUAUUAUGAACCUUUUAGAAGCAUGUUAGUGUUAUAAGAGAUUUAAAAAAAAAAAAAAACUUUAGUAUCUGUGGUGGCAUAGGGUUCCAAGAUGCAUACCAUGUAACCACAAUUGAACACUAAUAGGGACACAGGCAAAUUCCCAAAUCUA